UACGGGGGGGGCUAGCGUUGUUCGGAAUUACUGGGCGUAAAGGGUGCGUAGGCGGCGCGGUAAGUCGGGUGUGAAAUCUCGGAGCUUAACUCCGAAACUGCAUUCGAUACUGCCGUGCUUGAGGACUGGAGAGGAGACUGGAAUUUACGGUGUAGCGGUGAAAUGCGUAGAUAUCGUGAAGGAAGACCAGUGGCGAAGGCGGGUCUCUGGGCCGAUACUGACGCUGAGGAGCGAAAGCGUGGGGAGCGAACAGG
rnacentral:rRNA from 1 species